UACGUAGGCAGCGAGCGUUGUUCGGAAUUACUGGGCGUAAAGAGUGUGUAGGCGGUGCUCUAAGUUCGGUGUGAAAUCUCCUGCUCAACUGGGAGGUGCGCCGGAAACUGGAGUGCUUGAGCGUGGGAGAGGAAAGCGGAAUUCCUGGAUGUAGCGGUGAAAUGCGUAGAUAUCAGGAGGAACACCUGUGGUGUAGACGGCUUUCUGGACCAUAGCUGGACGCUGAAGACGACGAAAGCGUGGGUAGCAAACAGG
rnacentral:rRNA from 1 species